rnacentral:rRNA from 1 species
GCUAAUACAUGCAAGUCGAGCGAACUGAUUAGAAGCUUGCUUCUAUGACGUUAGCGGCGGACGGGUGAGUAACACGUGGGCAACCUGCCUGUAAGACUGGGAUAACUUCGGGAAACCGAAGCUAAUACCGGAUAGGAUCUUCUCCUUCAUGGGAGAUGAUUGAAAGAUGGUUUCGGCUAUCACUUACAGAUGGGCCCGCGGUGCAUUAGCUAGUUGGUGAGGUAACGGCUCACCAAGGCCACGAUGCAUAGCCGACCUGAGAGGGUGAUCGGCCACACUGGGACUGAGACACGGCCCAGACUCCUACGGGAGGCAGCAGUAGGGAAUCUUCCGCAAUGGACGAAAGUCUGACGGAGCAACGCCGCGUGAGUGAUGAAGGCUUUCGGGUCGUAAAACUCUGUUGUUAGGGAAGAACAAGUACAAGAGUAACUGCUUGUACCUUGACGGUACCUAACCAGAAAGCCACGGCUAACUACGUGCCAGCAGCGGGGGGUA